UGGCGAAAACAGCGAAGCUGCUCCAUUCAGAAGUGUGCGCGUUCAACGAAUGAUAUCCCGCCGCGUCUAAAACAGACAUCGUGCGGCACUUUGUGGAUACCGGAUGCGCCGGUUCCGGCAUAGGCGUCUUUCUUACAGCGAACAAAACACCGUCUCGUAAUCAGCACCACCAUCAUCGGAUCCGCAGCAGCCGGAUGUGGUACGGCACGCUGCACUGCACCACACCGUUGCGUUGUCGUCGUCGUCGUCGUCGACAGGCUGCCCGACAGGCAGAAAUAAAAACGGCCAUGUUUGUUUGUUUAGCUCCGCCUUAUUCUUUCGCUGUUCGCUGUUCAUCUCGGCACAACCAACAACAACCAACAUCAUCAUCACCAUCAUCAUUGCCUAUCAGUUCAGUAGAAGCGGCAGCAGCAGAACGACUUUCGGAGGGAUGUACUGCUAGCUAAGCUGGCUGGCUAUGGCUACAUACACAAACACGGCACACGGUCCCGCAUCUCGUUGUCGCUGCUGUGGCACAGGCACACACAAUACCGGAAAGCUUAUGGUGCUUCAAAGCGUUGUUUUUGAACAUCUUAGAAGAAUCUCUUAUACGAGCAAAAGAAAGAAUUUUAAUUCUACUACUAUACACAAAAUAUUCACUUCUGAAAUACAUACAUACAUGUGUACAAAAUAAUAGCAGUGCAAAAUCAAUUUUUUUAACCUUUAAAUUAUUUUUAUGUAUUAUCUACAGUGUGACACAUAUAUAUUCGAACCAAAAUCAUUUUAUGCUUGCAACGGCACACACAAUCAAUACAAUCAAACCCUAGACCCUAAACCGACAUAACACUCAUUUUCCAUUGUUCGUACCGAUUAAACCGUCAUUUCAAAUUUGGGCUUAGUUGGAAAUGUCCCCGUUUUGGUCAAAGCGGCGCUUUUUGACGAAAGAAAGGGAAUUCCCCAUAAAAAAUACUUGCUACUUCGAGGGAUACUCCUGUUGCUAUUUGAUAUUUGGGAAUGUCGAUCAUAGAUGGUGCUAGUGUUCAGGCUAAAUGUGAGGUUCGAUAAUUUUUGUAGAUUUUUCUUGCAAGAGUUACGUCUGUUUGUCUGUGAUCAGACUAAGACCAUGUGUGUGUCAUCAUGACUAGGGUCUUACUUGACGUAGUUUCAUUUUUUUUUAUUUUGUCUCGUUCGUUUGUCACGUACCAUGUUUCAGUUACGGUCGUUGAUAAUAAAUAAAUUUCGAAACGGUGCUACAUGCGGCACUAUUUUUCGCGACCUCAGACAUCUUGGUAUAAAAAGAGAAUUUUUAUGCUAUACAGUAAAAAGACUCGUCGAGACAGGAUCUGUUGAAAACCGCAGAAACCGGAAGAAUAUAAAGGGUUAGAACUGCAGAGGUCAAAAAGAUUGUUCAAGAGCGAAUUCAUCGCAGU